CGUGCCAAGUGGGGAAUCAGCGGUGCCCUGAACCUGCAAUCCGCUACAGCAGGACCGGAUCCCCCGUCUGAGGCGCAUGGUUUUGGGUUAUGGCCCGGAUAAGGAGUGUUGAGCUGCGGGUCUUGUGCAACAGACCGCUGUGAACCGUGUCAGAUCCGGAAGGAAGCAGCACUAAGCGGAUAGGUUUGUGUGCCGCAAGUCUUCCUGCGGGGAGCCACCUGUCCGGGGGUCCAGCCGGGAACCAGGCGACGAAGCGGGGUGCAC
rnacentral:SRP_RNA from 1 species